rnacentral:rRNA from 1 species
UGGCGGGGGGGGGGGGCCCUAUACAUGCAAGUCGAACGCGUUGGCCCAAUUGAUUGAUGGUGCUUGCACCUGAUUGAUUUUGGUCGCCAACGAGUGGCGGACGGGUGAGUAACACGUAGGUAACCUGCCCAGAAGCGGGGGACAACAUUUGGAAACAGAUGCUAAUACCGCAUAACAGCGUUGUUCGCAUGAACAACGCUUAAAAGAUGGCUUCUCGCUAUCACUUCUGGAUGGACCUGCGGUGCAUUAGCUUGUUGGUGGGGUAACGGCCUACCAAGGCGAUGAUGCAUAGCCGAGUUGAGAGACUGAUCGGCCACAAUGGGACUGAGACACGGCCCAUACUCCUACGGGAGGCAGCAGUAGGGAAUCUUCCACAAUGGGCGCAAGCCUGAUGGAGCAACACCGCGUGAGUGAAGAAGGGUUUCGGCUCGUAAAGCUCUGUUGUUAAAGAAGAACACGUAUGAGAGUAACUGUUCAUACGUUGACGGUAUUUAACCAGAAAGUCACGGCUAACUACGUGCCAGCAGCCGCGGUAAUACGUAGGUGGCAAGCGUUAUCCGGAUUUAUUGGGCGUAAAGAGAGUGCAGGCGGUUUUCUAAGUCUGAUGUGAAAGCCUUCGGCUUAACCGGAGAAGUGCAUCGGAAACUGGAUAACUUGAGUGCAGAAGAGGGUAGUGGAACUCCAUGUGUAGCGGUGGAAUGCGUAGAUAUAUGGAAGAACACCAGUGGCGAAGGCGGCUACCUGGUCUGCAACUGACGCUGAGACUCGAAAGCAUGGGUAGCGAACAGGAUUAGAUACCCUGGUAGUCCAUGCCGUAAACGAUGAGUGCUAGGUGUUGGAGGGUUUCCGCCCUUCAGUGCCGGAGCUAACGCAUUAAGCACUCCGCCUGGGGAGUACGACCGCAAGGUUGAAACUCAAAGGAAUUGACGGGGGCCCGCACAAGCGGUGGAGCAUGUGGUUUAAUUCGAAGCUACGCGAAGAACCUUACCAGGUCUUGACAUCUUGCGCCAACCCUAGAGAUAGGGCGUUUCCUUCGGGAACGCAAUGACAGGUGGUGCAUGGUCGUCGUCAGCUCGUGUCGUGAGAUGUUGGGUUAAGUCCCGCAACGAGCGCAACCCUUGUUACUAGUUGCCAGCAUUAAGUUGGGCACUCUAGUGAGACUGCCGGUGACAAACCGGAGGAAGGUGGGGACGACGUCAGAUCAUCAUGCCCCUUAUGACCUGGGCUACACACGUGCUACAAUGGACGGUACAACGAGUCGCGAACUCGCGAGGGCAAGCAAAUCUCUUAAAACCGUUCUCAGUUCGGACUGCAGGCUGCAACUCGCCUGCACGAAGUCGGAAUCGCUAGUAAUCGCGGAUCAGCAUGCCGCGGUGAAUACGUUCCCGGGCCUUGUACACACCGCCCGUCACACCAUGAGAGUUUGUAACACCCAAAGUCGGUGGGGUAACCUUUUAGGAGCCAGCCGCCUAAAGGGGGAAAAAG